rnacentral:tRNA from 1 species
GGAGCCAGUGUGGUAUAGUGGUUAAGAGCAGUAGACUCGUAAUCUGGUGAACUGGGUUCGUGUCCCCGCUUCUCCA